rnacentral:misc_RNA from 1 species
CAAGGGGUGACGAAAACAGCAAAUUACACAGCGGUGCUUUGAAGAUAUAUGAUUAUUGUCCUAUGAAACAAUUUUCAAGUAUUUUCUCUUUCAGAUGACAUAUAGAAGUAAGGAUAUUGUAGCUAAUUGAAAGAAACAUAAAGGAAAAUACGUAAACUGAGCGACGAUUGGGCAGCGUACAGGUAUAUAACGUCGCGUCGGUACAAAAUAGGAUGACGGUAUCAUUAGUAGAAGAACAAAGUUAGACUUAGACUUCACAUUAGUUCUAGCUGGAGCGGUAUGAAGUUGGGUUCAGAAUACAAUUUUGAAAUCUAUGGCACAGCUGCAGGUAGUAGUAAGACUCCUGCUUGCACCAGGCCUCUUAAUAACUCAGCAUGGAGCAUAACUGGACCAUCCACAUCUGUAUCAUGUAUCACCAGCAACAGCUCUAAGGAAUAUGGUACAGUUUCAUCAAACUUGCCUAUGUCAUCCCGAGCUAAUACAACUCUGAUGUCAUCAGCAACAAGUAGGGCACUACAGAGGGCUGCUAGUUCUGGAAGAUCAUGGAGUUACACCCCUCUUACAUCAAGUGGUGGUAGACUAAGAACUCCUGGACGGACUCCUGGGAGAACACCCGGGUCUAGGAGUACAGUAUUUGGAAGCUCAAGUACAACCCUUGGCGUCAAUCCUCAGUCUUCGGUUCUUGUAGCCAUUGUAGAAGGGAGAGGUGUAGCUCAGGGUGAAAUAGGAAUGGCUAGUAUUGACCUGAAGCAGCCUGAACUGAUAUUAUCACAGUUUUCAGAUAGUCAGACGUAUGUGAAAGUAACAACAAAGCUUCAAGUAUUGCAGCCUAUUGAGAUCAUUAUGCCUCAUACAGCAUGUGAAGGAGGAGCAAUGACAAAGCUUUUCAAGCUUAUUAGUGAUAAUUUCCAGGGUCUUGAUGUUACAACAGUCCAGCGAAAAUAUUUCAAUGAAACAAAAGGGCUGUCAGUAGUCAAGCAGUUAUGUGUUGCAGACUUCAGUGCAGUUGAAAUGGAAAUCACAUCAAAAUACUACUGCCUUGCAGCGGCAGCUGCUCUAUUGAAGUAUGUAGAGUUCAUCCAGAAUUCUGUUUAUGCACCAAAUUCAUUGAAAGUGGUCUUCAAAGGGAGUGAGCAAUCGGCUGUAAUAGAUGCAGUUACAGCUAGAAACCUUGAGCUUGUUCAGAACCGUAAAGAUCCCAAGAGUGAUCACACAUUGUUUGGCGUUCUCAAUUACACAAAGACUAUGGGAGGAGCUCGUUUGAUGAGGUCAAAUAUCUUACAGCCGCCACUGAAUGAAGAAACCAUUAAGCUUCGCUUGGAUGUUGUAACUGAGUUAACAGAGAGUGAGGAACUCUUUUACAAUUUGCAAUCAGUUCUGUCUAGGUUUAUUGAUGUGGAUCAUCUUCUGUCAUUGUGUGUUCAAAUCCCAAAGGAAGAAUCUGUGAAAUCAUCUGAGCAAAAGAUCACUAAUAUCAUCUACUUGAAGCACACUCUAGAGCUCGUUGAACCACUCCGUCUGGCUCUUCAGUCAGCCAAGUCAAAACUCCCUCAAGCAUAUCACAAGACUUUACAAGAUAGUCGAUUUCAGCAGAUCUUAGAAAAGAUUGGCACAGUGAUUAAUGAUGAAACCAGAUAUCAGAAAGGGGCUCUUAACAUGAGGACUCAGAAGUGCUUUGCUGUCAAACCAGAAAUUAAUGGUUUACUUGAUGUGGCAAGGAGGACCUACACAGAACUUGUUGACGAUAUUUCUGGCCUUGUUUUCACAGAGAUGAUCAAACAGCUCUCAGAUGAACAUGGUCUGUUGCUUAGGACCAAUUACAGUACAGCUAGAGGAUUUUUCAUCCAACUCUACAGUAAAGGCAAACACAGCAUCCCUAUAGAAUCUCUACCUUCGGUCUUUAUCAAGGUUGUCAAGGCAAAGAAUAUGCUCAGCUUCACUACAACAGAUCUGAUCAAAAUGAAUGACAGAGUAAGAGAGUCACUCAAUGAGAUCUACCUCAUGACUAAUGUUGUUGUGAGCCAGUUGCUGAAUGACAUCAGAGAGCAUGUAGGCUGCCUAUACAAGCUAGCUGAAUGUGUUUCUGUCAUUGACAUGCUUGUUUCCUUUGCCCAUACAUGUACUCUCUCAGACUAUGUGAGACCAGAUUUCACUGAUACUUUAGCUAUCAAGCAGGCAAAGCACCCAAUCCUAGACAAGAUCUCCUAUGAUCCACCCAUUCCAAACAACAUUUAUGCAUCAGAGGAGAGUAACUUUCUUAUCAUAACUGGUCCAAAUAUGAGUGGCAAGUCAACCUACCUGAAGCAGAUAGCACUACUACAAAUCAUGGCUCAGAUAGGUUGUUAUGUACCAGCAGAGUAUGCAUCUUUUAGGAUCUGUGAUCAAGUCUUCUCAAGGAUUGGAUGUGAUGAUGACAUUGAAACAAAUGCAUCAUCAUUUACGUUAGAGAUGAGAGAAGUGAAUUACAUUGUGCAGAACUGUUCUCAUGAAUCACUGGUCAUCAUUGAUGAACUAGGAAGAGUUAUCACUUCCAAGUGGAGCAAAGUCAAGCUGAAGGUUUAGAUAACAACAUGAUCAACUACACUCACAUCUUAUCAAGAGGGAGAACAACAGAACAGUACUAUGGUAUCAAGUUAGCAGAGAUAUCCACCUUACCGCCAUCUAUUGUAAGAGAGGCCAAGAAAUUGUCACAGAAAUUAGCUCAUCAAAGGAAG